CCCCUCUCAGGAUCACACCUGGAGAGUUUCCAGUACUCUACCAGUCUCGGUUAUGGGAGGGAAAGUCAAGCAGAGGCAUAUCCAUUCCAUUCCUAGCUGGGCAGUGGCUAGAGAGUGCAAAGCAAUCUGCUACAAGA